UAAGGCGUGUCUGGUUUGGGGUUUUGUAUAAAAUGGUCGCGAGGAGAAACAGUUUCUGUGACAGUUUCUCAAGACAAAAACAGGAAGAAAAGCUUACUUUAAGGUUUGGUUAAGCUGAUAUAGAGGAUGGUCAAAUUUCUCUUCUUGAUGUUCUUGGUUGAGUCCAGCAACCAAUUCAUGAGAAGUCAGACUCUCAGGUCCAGAACACCAAAGACCUGUGCUGUUCUCCACACUGAGAAUGAGAAGCAGCUGGAGCUGCCAUCCUUCAGAGACAAGACCCAGGUGGGAUCUAGAUGGAAUGGAACCUUCGGGUUCUUCACAGUGAUGGAGGGCUGCCUGCUCACUCUUUGGCAGGAUCACAGAGGACAGGGUGAUCCUCAGUCCUUCGUGAGUGGUGCUUACCCCAGUGUCACUGGUUCCUUUUCUGCCUUCCUGUGCAGCUGUGUGGGAGAGGAAAGUGAAAUCGUGGCCCUUACUUCCACCUUCGCUGAUUUCCGAAAGAGGCACCUUGCACCCAGGAACGCAAAAGGUGACAAUAAUUUCUGCACAGCUCAAAUAAGGAACAGAAACCUUACUGAUCACGGGUCAUGCAAACAACGGAACACGUUUAUAUUUUCUGACGAGGACGUGGUUAUAAAUGUAUGUAGAACAGGAGGUAGCCACUAUCCUGACAAACGGUAUAACAAUCUGUAUAAGAGCAAGGACUUGUUCAAUCUGACAGAGUGCUCAUGGACAAAUGAGCCUGAAGAACCGCCCAACUGUAGUUACACAGCAGAUAUGAAAACAAGGUUUAUCAUUCUAGCUUGUAGGAAGAAACUGCCCGUACAUUUUCAAAAAAGCGUACCAAAUUAACCUUAUUUCAUCGUUUCAAGAUUACCCUUAACCUGAACUACCCUACCAAACUGUUUUGCUCUGCACUGAAUAAUUAAACCAAAAAUUGUCCUUCUUAAAUGGUACCAUAUUGUUGUUUAAUCGCCCCUGUAUCUAUUAAGAUGGGUGUGUUGCACUUUCCGUUAGAAUUGUAUUGUGAAUUGUAUUGUGAACCUAGGUUUAAAGUGUUAGGCACAUUCGGUAGUUCAAAAUUUUUGAUAACUGGGGUUUGUGAAAGCCACAAAACGUAAACUCUUGAGACCAAUUCCUCAAAUGACAAUGCUUGGCUGACUCUGUAUUAAAGGGGAGGCUACUCAUCAGAAAAGGGUGAGAAAGUUACAGAGCAGAAGUAAGCUUGUAUAUUACAGAGCAGAACUGAAAGCCUGUCGUCAGAAACAUCCAGGCCACUGUGAGUAAAAAACUGUGUCAAAAAAUCUUUUUUGUUUCUGAACAAUAAAAGUGCCCAUCCCUGUGCGGAAAUAUA